AGCGAACGCUGGCGGCAGGCCUAACACAUGCAAGUCGAACGAACUCUUCGGAGUUAGUGGCGGACGGGUGAGUAACACGUGGGAACGUGCCUUUAGGUUCGGAAUAACUCAGGGAAACUUGUGCUAAUACCGAAUGUGCCCUUCGGGGGAAAGAUUUAUCGCCUUUAGAGCGGCCCGCGUCUGAUUAGCUAGUUGGUGAGGUAAAGGCUCACCAAGGCGACGAUCAGUAGCUGGUCUGAGAGGAUGAUCAGCCACACUGGGACUGAGACACGGCCCAAACUCCUACGGGAUGGAGCAGUGGGGAAUCUAGCACAAUGGCCGAAAGCCUGACGCAGCCAUGCCGGGUGAAUGAUGAUAUUCUUAGGAUUGUAAAAUUCUUUCACCGGGGACGAUAUUGACGGUACCCAGUGAAGAAGCCCCGGCUAACUUCGUG
rnacentral:rRNA from 1 species